UACGUAGGGUGCAAGCGUUGUCCGGAAUUAUUGGGCGUAAAGAGCUCGUAGGCGGUUUGUCGCGUCUGCUGUGAAAACUCGGGGCUUAACCCCGGGCUUGCAGUCGAUACGGGCAGACUUGAGUUCGGUAGGGGAGACUGGAAUUCCUGGUGUAGCGGUGAAAUGCGCAGAUAUCAGGAGGAACACCGGUGGCGAAGGCGGUUCUCUGGGCAUUACCUGACGCUGAGGAGCGAAAGUGUGGGGAGCGAACAGG
rnacentral:rRNA from 1 species